CAUCAUAACCGCCGGAAUGCGCCGUUCUGUUAUGAGUGUAACCAUGUCCAUGGUGUAACCAAGCAUAGAAUGAAGGAACAAUCCACCACAUCCAACCAACAUUUUCAUUUAGCCGCCAGAUUGACUCAACGAGAGAACAAAGACAGGGAGCGGAGUAAAAUCUCUAACUGAAAAUUAGACAGACUGGAUUAUUCUGAGGACAAAAGCAUUUCCAAGGACCAUGGAUCUGACCACAUAGGAAAUACAGUGAGAGCAUGAGAAUCUCAAGGAGUGGAUAUAGUCACUGAGAAACCUUACCAUUUAGCAUAUACACUUUAGAGCAGGGACAUGAGAGGGACGUCCCUGCUUGAGAAUCACAGGGGUCAGACAUCGUGAAUAUAGUUAACGAGGUAAGUGAAUCAUAUUUCUAUAGAGUCGAGGGAGUGACUAUUAAACGCAAGUUGAUGUCAUGAAAAUUAACAAAUUUUGCUUAUAUUUAUUUCAUUUGUAUGUAUCUUUUAAUAAAAUUGACUCAUCAUUCCCCUUAUUCUGCUUGAGGAGUUAAUAUCAAAGUGAUACAUUGUUUAUUUGUUGUCGGUUAGGUGACGCACAGCGUCCAAUUAAACAUUUUGUAUGGGUGGAAACCAGAGAACUUCCCCACAUCAACAUAAUACAAUGAGAUCCCAGUAUCGAUUUCAAUAUCACUUCAUCGAUGUAUUUAUUGUAACUAGGCAAUGUGCGAUAAGACCGUUAUUGUGCGGAGACAAAGUAUCUUUGCGGAAGAACUUCACAUUUUCCCGAUUCAAUUCAUUCUUUUAUGAUAAUAAUAGUUUCAUUUUUAUAGUGCUUAUUACACUUUGUUUCUAAGCGCUUUACAUUCCCGCACACGAUGUAUGCACUUUCUCCACUCCCUGGAGAGCAUUCCAACAAGAGUUGCAAGACUCAAUUACUGGGCAUACUACUUAGGCUUUCGCAUCAUACCGGGUACCCAUUUAACACGUGGGGGAAAGGACGCUAGGCCGUGAUGUGAUUCGAACACACGACACACUAUGAUUACAAGGCGAGAGUCAAAACCGCUACACCACGACGCUUUACAGUUCAAACAUAAUACAAAGUAAUGUUAAUCAUCUUAGAAAUUAACGGAUUGACAUCUUAAAGACUGUAAAGAGAAGUAUAAAAAUAGCGCAUAUGCAAAUCCAGGGGGUCCAAUCCCGGGGGGCCAUCCAGGGGGCCCCUUAUUGUAAGCGCAAAAAAGAAAUAAUUUUCACACACGUCUCUGUCCUGUCAAUAUGGCUUCCAAAUAAUUAAUUAGAAUAAUUAUACUAACGUGCAAUACUAAAUUGUACAAUAUAAAAGUAAAGGCAUUUCUCGUUCCACUCGUUCGCAAAGUUUUGAUUAACAUAGUUUCAAGCAGUGAGGUCCAAGCAGGAAGGGAUCCAGGAUUUUCCAGAAGGGAUGCACAUUUUCCCGAUGAAAAUUUUAUAAGCAAAAAAAAGGUUUUCACCUAUAUUGAAGGUUAUUUCGUAGUCGGAAAAUUUGAAUAGCAAAACAAAAAAAAGGUUCUCAUGUUCAAAAUGGCAGGGACACUGAAUAAAAACAAAUUAUAAAUGUUGAUUAUGGCUUUCAAAAGGGGGAGCACGGACCGGCCGGCUGUGCCCCCUACCCUCUAGAUCCGCCUCUGGGUACAAGGGUAGUCUACGUCAUAUUAGUAGCUAUUUUCAAGUCAUCUUUAUAUCACCAUGGCGCUGAAUUAAUGCAGGUUUGUUACCUUCUCUAGUAAAAUGACCAACCCCUUACAUUUCCUAAAAUAACAAUGCGAACGAUUUCUAGCAACAAGAUUAAUGGAUAUCAUAUGUGACCUAAUAUUUUUUAUUACGUUAUGACAUUUUUAUGUUUUGUUUUUAUUGUCGUUCUGCUUGUUCGUAUCCUUUAAAAUCCUGUAGUUGUCAGUAGGUAUAUAUUUAACCCUAUGUUGAGUAUUCUGUCAACACGAUUGUGCCCAUGACCAAAUCAUUGUACUGUAUGUUUCAGCAUCAUGAUUUUUGACUAUUUUUCUCGAACUUACAAAGUAUUGAACACUGCUACAUAUUUAGGGAUGGAUGCCAGCUGUGCUAUGGGCGCAGUAUUCAAAACUCCGCCCUCCAUAUCAUUUUUAACCUCUGUACGUUUACUGGAAGGGCACGCCUCCAAACCAUUAUACUAAAUAGCCUUGGUCACCCAUAAAGGCGAUUUUUUUUUCGAAAUGUUAACAACCCAACGCCAAAGAAAAAUACCAGCUAACGGCAAUUUUGCCUCGCAUCGCGCCCGACGCAUCAGAAACUUAAGCCCCUUUCACAAUUGACGUACGACCAUUUGCGACCUUUUGGUCGUCCGACAGGCUGCAACAGGCAUCAAUCGCUAGUCAUCUUAUGAGAUCGCACAGAGGCUUUCACAAAUACAACAGCUGUCGUACAACAAAAACAACCACUAAACCCCAUUGCACGAGUAGGUCGCAAAUGCUUGCUCGUGCGAUCACAUGCGAGUGUUGCACGAGGGAUUGCGAGUGCAACUGUCGUAUACAUACGAAUGCAACGGUAGUGCAAUGUUGUAAGACGUGUUGCGAUCGGUCUUACAACAGUCUUAUGACCUACAUAUUAUCACACCCAAUCGCAAGACUGGUCUCUAUUGGUCGCUAGCACAUGUGCAAGUGUUGUACCACCUCCAGUCGACUUAAUGCGAUCAAGUCGUACAACGUUGAACAACACUCACACUAUGAUCUCCAGACCGAUGGUGCGAUCUAAUGCGAGUUAAUUGAUCGUAUUUGAUGGCGUUUGGAUUUGAACAUCUUCAAAGUUCAGAUGCGACCAGUCACGACCACCUCGAGUUCGUGCGACCGUCUACAACGAAUGCGAGUGCUCGCAAGACACCAAGAGAUCGAUCGUGCUACAACAAGAAAAAAAAAACUGUUGCAGGCGGUCGUAAACUGGUCGUACGUCAAUUAUGAAAGGGGCUUAAUAUAUAUAUAUAUAGCCCGUUUCAUGAAGGUCGUAUGAUGGUUUGAGCAUGGGGAGGUGGAACUAAAGUGGUAUGGGGUGCACAUUUUGAGGAGGUGAAACUAAAGUUUGG